rnacentral:rRNA from 1 species
CCCGGGCCUUGUACACACCGCCCGUCACACCACGAAAGUCGGCAACACCCGAAGUCAGUGGCCCAACCCGCAAGGGAGGGAGCUGCCGAAGGGUGGGGUUGGUGAUUGGGGUG